CUGACUUCAGGUGAUCCACCUGCCUCAGCUGCCCAAAGUGCUGGGAUUAUAGGCCUGAGCCACCCUGCCUGGCCCUCUCCUCUGUUUCUUGACCUGGUUUUGUUUACAAUUUGUUGCUGCAAUCUUCCUAUAACUGUUUCCAGAGUUGUGUGACGAAAAGGGAGGCUGGCACGCAGAGAGAUUUCUCACACUCUGUUGGCUUGUGCAGUUGAGACAAAAUUAAGCAAUGUAGAAAUUUAAGCUUCAGUUUUUAAUGACCUAGGUUUUUCCAGGCCUUCCCAUUUUGGAGUAUCACAGUACUCAGGGAUUUCUGAGUUUUCUCUCCCUUCCAGAGGAACUAUUCUUGAAUGGGAUUAUUAAGCACCCCUUCCUCAAUUCUUCAACAAAGCUCCGAGGAAUGAAUGUCUCAAGUUCUGCUGCUUUUAAAGUAUAAAAGAUAAAUUCAAAGUUCCUUAUGCUUCUCCUUUCUGGGAGAAUUCUGGGUUUUACUCCAACAGUGGGAAAGUUUUCUAAGCUGGUUUUGCUCCUGUCUCAUGGGCAAGGCAGUUUGGUCGGUGGCUGUUCUGUGGGCUGCUGUCUGGAGGAGACGGUCGGUGGAGACGGUCGGUCGGGGAGGUCACCCUGACAAUUAUGGCCAACUGACGGUGGAGGGAGUGGUCUCGGUUUGGCCCUCAGUCUGGAGUCACAGUCUGGAUUCACAGGCAGCGCAGAGAGAUGUUGGCUCAGGACCUGAGGCUGAGGCGUGCUGGGACAGCCUAGGGGGUGUCCUGGCUUUCCAGGGGCUGGGGAACCCUCUCUGGCCCGGGGGCGGGAGAAGCUGUUCCAGAAUCGGUUCUGGCUCCACUGCCACCUCAGCACUUUCUAAUUGCAGCUCCAAACAGCCGCAGCUGCAGUCAUAGCAACAGGCCCCGCCCACCGGGCUUCGCUCCUGGCGUCCAGCACGUGACGGCGACGCCUGCGUCGCUCCCUCAGCCCCUGGCGCUAAGGGAGGCGGGGAAGUGUGGGGGGAUGACGUUUACUCUGUCGUCUCCAUGGAUAUAAUGCAUAGACGUCAACGUCGCCAGUGUUUGGUGUGUAACGUUCUUCCGUCUCCAUGGGAACGUCAGGCGGCCAAACACCGGGCCCCAGCAACAGGCUUCUGAUUGGCCCGAGGCUUCCAAAGGCGGAGCUUCGUCUCCCGCGCCCGCUCGACUGUGUUGCUGUUUUGGUUGUUGUCUCCCACUUGUUUAUUUCUCUAACAGAUCCUGGAGGCUGAGGUCUAGAUCGGUCGCCAAGGAUGGGAUCCAGGAGAAAACGUGCUGAACGUGCAGCUUGCUCCUACCGAUUACAGCCCAGCAGAUGACAUAGUUCCACUGUGCUCUAGUCCAUUGUGGGAAUUAUGGCCCUCAUGCCCGGCGUCUGUCACAACCCAAUAUUUGGUGUUAUAACCCCUGCUCCCACCCCCCAGCACAUCUCAGAAGUGCCGUUACCCUCUCAGUCACAUCCCAGAAACUGUGUUGCCUUCACGGUUACUCUUGUUUAUGCUUGAGAGCACUCGGAGGCCUUUCCAUAUCUAAAGCCUGCAUUCAGUGCUACCCCCUGCAGGAUUUGGAUACAUUUCCCCGUCUGGUCCUAAUUCUGUUGAAUGACAUCAUUUAUCCGUAUUCCCACCCAGAGAUGGGCAGAUUUCUUGUAACCUGAAUAGAUACCAAAGAAUCCCAAAGGACCUGGGUGGGUACUUCUAUUUAUGGGCUCAUUGGAUCUUAUUCUUUCCUCUCCGCCUGUUUUAAUUCAAAUCGGGGGGACCAUUUGAUUUCUCCAAUAGAAACAGAAAGAAAUUGAAGACAGAGAUGAACACAGAUCAAGAGCCCAGGUUUCUUGAUAUCUAAUACUAAUAUACUGAUGGAGUUAAACAUUCCAAGGAAUAUAGCAUGUCUUGGUCUCUGAGAGCCAAUAUAUCUGGGUUACACUGAAAGAGGAAUAACGAGAUAAUAUUUACACUGUACAUUGAAGAUGACCUGAAAAGCUGGAAGAGCUCAGACAGACAUCAGCUGGAUGAAGCCCCAGGUUCAAACAAACUUGCCUUGGAUAUCAAAGUACUAGUAGCAAAGGAACUCCCAAUUCCUCACCUGCUGUGAAGUUUCCCAUUCACUGCAAGCAAAGUCCAGGUGAAAGCAAAGAUUCUUCACCCGCAGAAACCCUCUGGGCAGGUAACUCAUGAUGUAUUCCCAGCCACCUGAUGAAUCUGGAGAAAGGAAUAGAAUGGUUCUGCCAAAUGAUUUAAAUGAAGAAUCCUGUGGGCCCAGCCCAGCCCUCUAUGCUAACCAAUCUGAAGCCGGCAGGUGUGUGGUGUUCUGUUUAUAGCUGCCAGAUCAGCUCCUGUUGUAGGUUCUAUAUGCUGGCCUCAGCUGAGCCUGUGGUAUGUGAGCACAGUUCUGUGCGAUCCAAACAAUUGACAAAUACUGACCUGGCCCCAGCCACGUGCCCAGUCAUUGCUGGGCUGCCCAAGAAACCAACUAAGCACAUUCUGGGGCAGGGGUGGGGGGCAUUCAAGAAAGAAAUCAGAAAGCUGUAUUCAUUAUUCUAUUGACUGAAGGCUUAGUAUUGUGUCAGGCACUGAUCUGGCAACGGGGAAACAGUAAUGUCUCUUUCCCUCAUGGAACUUAC
rnacentral:lncRNA from 1 species